UUCGAAAUACAAGUGGAGAAAACAAAUUUUCUUCACUUGUGCCCGCCUCUGUCUGUCAGUCCAGCGCGCCCGCUUCACUUGCGAGAAACCGCCGCCUGUCCGCCGAAUUUGAAGUCCUUUUAGGAUACUUUUCUUUAAUAAACGAUUACCUUGUGGGAGUAGCUGGACCAAACUCUAUUGGUAUUUCAAGUUUGAAAUCCCUGUUUGACCAGACCAACAUUUCAGAUGAGUUAAUAGAUGGCCUAAUCUAUUUGCAUUGUGAGAAUUUCCCUUACAUUUAUCCAAUACCAAGCCAAAUCACUGGAAAAAUUUUGGUUGGGUCCACAAGAGCACAAAGUGCAUACUUUUUGAAGGUAUGACUUGGACUGUGGUAACUAUGUUCUUAUCACAAAGGGUUUAUAAGUUGCCACUAUAAACAAACAGCAUUUUCCAAAAUUUAAGCCUUGUCAGAAGAACCUGAAAAAUACCUUUCUGAAACCUUUUCUGUGUAAAGACUUGCUCAAAAGCAAUGCACACAGAUUAAAAUAUUUCUGUCUUGGCCAUCUGAUAAAGAACACCAAAAAUUGAGUGGUCUUGAUUUGUUUCGUACACACUAUAGAACUUAAUUAAUGUAAACAAAAAACGACACUUUCUAUAUAUUUGUGUAACUGCAGAAUUAAUUACAAGUCUCACCUGACAAGCUUUCGCAAUUUUGCAGUGUCAUUCUUGACAGAAAAACAUACUUGUCACUAGGGCUGGGCGAUAUGACCCAAAAUUCAUAGCUCGAUAUUUUUUAGC